GUUCUUUUAGCAGCAUAUGGAGGUUCCCAGGCUAGGGGUCUAAUCAGAGCUGUAGCUGCCAACCUACACCACACCCACAGCAACACCAGAUCUGAGCUGAGUCUGUGACCAACACCACAGCUCACAGCAAUACCAGAUCCUUAACCCACUGAGAGAGGCCAGGGAUGGAACCCACAAUCUCAUGGUUCCUAGUCGGAUUUGUUUCCGCUGCACCACAAGGGGAACUCCUGAUGCAGGAAUCUUUUUUGAGGUUGUCUUUACCUCUGUUUGUGGGUUGUGUUUUUGUUGUCCUAUGGUUUGUUUUUAAUGUCAUCAAAUUGUCAGUUUUUUCCUUUAUGUUCUUGGCUUUGAUGGCAUGUUUGUCUUUAUCUUUGUUUGUGGGAUGUGUUUUUGUUGUACUAUGGUUUAGCUUUAAUAUAGUCAAAUUGUCCGUUUUUUCCUUUAUGUCUUUGGCUUUGAUGGCAUGUAGUUUUAGUAUGUUACAUAGUUUCUGAGAUUUAAGAUGGAUUUCUCAUUUCAUCAACAUAAAAUGUCACCUGGAAAUUGAAUUAGAACUUUUGAAAAUAUAGUUUAGAUUAUUUAUUACACAGUCACAGUCUUUAUCACUACUAGAAAAAAAUAACGAUGACUAAAGUUAACAUAUUUAUCAAUAUUUUUAAAGGGGAAAAAAAUCUUUUCAAAAUCCUGUCUGUGCCAAUUAGCAGGUGAUACUUUACAUCUUCCAUAUUUAGUAUCUGAAAUAACAUAAUCCCAAUAGAAAACUCUAAUUUGGUCAGAAAACAAUUUUACAAGCUGUUGCAUUAUAUGGAUGCAAGUAUCACAGCUUCAAACUGUGAGGCAUGAUCCAGCCAGAGCUUGGGUGGAAAUGUUUCCAUAAUGACCACACAUGGGAUAAAACAACAGAAAAUUAUUCACUUUCAUUGGCAGGUAAAGCAUUCUAUAAAAGUUUCUCUUUCCUUUCCUGGAGAUGCUACGUAAGAAGCCCAAAGUUUAUGAAGGAGAGAGUGAUGAUAAUGUCUGAUGCAUGGCCUCCACAUACACAUACACACCAUUCAUUGAUGAGGACUUGCUCAGUGGUCCCUACAGGCUUUCCUUUGACAUGUUGUUAAUCCAGGCUCCUGAUUAGGAGGAUACAGCCAGCUUUAACAUAUACAAAUUCCUUCUGAUUUCAUAAUGCCUGUUCAGGUCCCUUUAAAUCCUGCAUCAAAAUUCUUCUCAAUGGGUCACCAAAAAAUUGUAUUUGUGAAAGCCAACAACAAUUUAAGUUUUUCUUUUUUAAAUCAAUAAAAAUGACAGUAACAAUAAUGAAAUAAUAUGAGCAGCAUGAGUCAAAGGAACAAAAAAAGCUGUUUAAGAAAAAUCUUCAUUUUGAUCUCAAGAAUAUAAAAAAUAUAUAGCUUUCUUUUCAUUCUUAGUAUUCUACUAUUAAGUGCUGCAAAAAUGUGAAUUAGUAACAGUCUCAUAUUCACAAUGUUCACAGCUGAACCCUCACCCACCUAAGAAAGAAACAAAUGCCCUGGCAACCCCUCUCCUGUUGGUCAGUUAUUGUUAAAUGAAAUGGAGUACCAGGCCAGGGAUAUAGGACAUCCAUUAAAAAAAAAAAAAUAGAAUCACUGAUACAAAGACUCAUCAUCCACAAGGAGCAAUGGAGAGACCUUAACAGGAAAUAAUUACAUGAUAGAAAAUACAACUAAGAGGUUAAAUCCCAUGGUUCAGGAAAGAAUGAAUAAGUACGGGCUAGGGUAUUUAUCAUUAUAUUCAUUCACAUGGAAAGUAUCUAUUGAGCACCAGGCACUCUUCUGGCCCCAGGGGCCAAAGUGAAAUUCAAAUUUAUUUUCCUUAAAUUUCUGACUGAUCACAUAAACCCUGAACCCUGACAGCCUAACGACUCGUGUGCAAUUGGCCAUUAUCACAAUAACCAUCCCUGAUUAUCAAAAUAACCUGGCAUUUAUUAGGAGAAAGGUUUGAAAGAGUGAAUUUUAAGGCUGAGUAGCAUCAAGACAGUCCCAACUGUAUAUUGGAAACAUUAAACAAGCAAUUAAGCACUUCAUCUUCAGUCACAUCACAUUAUUUAUCCAGGUGAGACAGAGUCCCAAUCAGAUAUAAUGUUGUUUUAGGAAGCAUGAAUUCAGACAAGAUUUUUAAGACAGCAAAAAAAAAAUUGCACAGCAACCAUAUAUGGAUCAUGAGUCAGAAAUUCUCUAAAUCCGAAUUUGAAUAUACAUAAUUUAAAUUUGCUUCUCUUUCCAUUAUUUAACUCUGCCUCUAGGCUUCACCAAUCAUCACAUGCCGUUCUAAACAUCUAUACCAAGAUUAGACAUCUCAAAUGGUCCCCUGAUUAUAGCUGGUAAUUCCAAGCCCUCCAAAGUAGAACUAGUCCUCUCCCAGACUUAUCUCUUGAUUACUCCCCCCAAAUCACCCAAACCUCAAAAUCAGAACAACAGAGCUUCACAUUAAACUUUAAAUUACUGGAGUUUUAUUUUUUUACUGUUGUUGUUGCUCUUGUCUCCUGACACUUGAUCUUCCAUCAUCCCCUUACAAUAUAACUCCCUAAUUUGACAUAGUCUGACCUGGGUUAAAAUUCUAAGUACAGUUUUCUAUCUAUGGGAUCUGAAAUAAGCUAUUUAACCUUCAGGAUUCUCACUUUCUUCAUCAGGUAAAUAACAAUAGUAAUACCUACAUUUCCAGCAUGCCAAAAAAAUUAAAUGAGAUACUGCGUAUGAAAGCAUCCAAUAGAGGCCUUGCAAUGAUUUCCUGGGACAAUUCUAGCCAGAAGGAAGCUCUCCUACCGAAUUCCAAUGCAUGGUUAUACCACUGUACUUUUGAGCCAUCUCCAAUAAUUAUUUUUUUGUGUCUAUCUUAACUCCCUACUUAGGACCAGAGGUUGUGGCAAACCCCUUUAUGGUUUCUUAAGACAGAGCCUGACAUAUAUUUGGUCAUACUGAGGGCAAGGGGAAAAGAGUGGUUAAUGAUCCUCAACGCCUCAUAGUUGGUAUUAGCAGUGCAAAGAUUCUGCUGAAUUUCAAGAAUCAUCUAACAUUCAGAUUGUUUCUCUGAGCCUCAGAUAAUAAUGCAACUAGGAAGUCUCCUCAAAGUAUUCCUUAUUUUUUUAUUUGUUUCCAGGUUUAAAUACAAAUACAGAGACUGAUAAUAUUCAUAUUUAAAUACCAUCCACUUAAUUUCACAUAGUUCUUCAUAGUCAGUGGCCAUGAGACAAUAAAAAUCAAACCAAAAAGAGAAUAGUUUUGCAAAUACAACAGACCAUCAAAAUAGGAACCUAGGCAGAAAGUUAAAAGGUUAAUGAAGAGUCCACCCAGUUCUAUAAUACUUCAGUUGAUCUGGCAUUCUAAAACAGUGACUAACACCCUCACAAGAAUAAGAAUCACAAGCAUGUGCCUUCAGAGAAAUAACUGAGGCUGAACAACUCAUUCUACUAAGCCGUUGUCAUGGCCAAACUUGCUCUUAUUCCCAAGCAAAUGCACUUCUGGAAACCUAUGAACCAUCCUUUAAGAAGCUUCAGACCACGCUACAGAGUCACUGCACCAGUCAAUAGACCCUGGAUCUGCAGGAGUAAUUUAUGGCCCUCUAAAUCAAGGGCCUUCCACUAUUCAAUAAAACUCUCCCCUGAAUUAUAACAAAAGUCAUAACAAAGUUCACCCAGACUGGGUGACAUGCACUGGAAGCUCUCAGUGCCCCCCCACCCCGUGUGUUAUUUCCGAGAGGGAGGGGCCCUGGCAUCUGGGUUCCACCCAACAACUCACCACUUCCCAGUGUGGCUCUCCCCCACCCUGCCCCUGUGCCAGGAGUCUGGGGAUAAUCCACAAUGGGAAUAACCUGCCUACUUGGAUCAAGUUCAGGGAGCAUCUUGCUCCUUCUCUGGUGAAUGAACAUAACUGCUAGACAAGAGACUAAAAAAUGACCAAAGAGAACCUUUAAUUUUUUAUUUUUUUAGCUGAAGUACUGAUUCACAAUAUUAUAUUAGUUUCAGGUGUACAGCACUGUGAUUCAG
rnacentral:lncRNA from 1 species